AGAGCGAACGCUGGCGGCAGGCCUAACACAUGCAAGUCGAGCGCCCGUAGCAAUACGGGAGCGGCAGACGGGAGAGUAACACGUGGGAACGCGCCCUUCGGUUCGGAAUAACUCAGGGAAACUUGAGCUAAUACCGGAUACGCCCUUACGGGGAAAGAUUUAUUGCCGAAGGAACGGCCCGCGUCCGAUUAGCUAGUUGGUGAGGUAAUGGCUCACCAAGGCGACGAUCGGUAGCUGGUCUGAGAGGAUGACCAGCCUCACUGGGACUGAGACACGGCCCAGACUCCUACGGGAGGCAGCAGUGGGGAAUAUUGGACAAUGGGCGCAAGCCUGAUCCAGCCAUGCCGCGUGGAUGAUGAAGGCCUUAGGGUUGUAAAGUCCUUUUAACGGGAAGAUAAUGACGGUACCGUAGAAUAAGCCCGGCUAACUUCGCGCCAGCAGCCGC
rnacentral:rRNA from 1 species